rnacentral:rRNA from 1 species
AUUGAACGCUGGCGGCAUGCUUUACACAUGCAAGUCGAACGGUAACAGGCCUUCGGGUGCUGACGAGUGGCGAACGGGUGCGUAAUGCAUCGGAACGUACCCAGAGGUGGGGGAUAACGCAGCGAAAGCUGUGCUAAUACCGCAUGUGAUCUGAGGAUGAAAGCGGGGGACCGAGCAGCAAUGUUUGGCCUCGCGCCUUUGGAGCGGCCGAUGUCGGAUUAGCUAGUUGGUGGGGUAAAGGCCUACCAAGGCGACGAUCCGUAGCUGGUCUGAGAGGACGACAGCCAACAGUGGGAUGGAGACCCGGCCCGGACCCCUCCGGGAGGCGGAGGUGGGGAUUUGGGGAGAAGGGGCGCAAGCUGGACCAAGCAGGGCGGCGGGGGGAAAGAGGGCCUUGGGGUUGAAACCCGGUUUGGGCAGGAAGGAAAGGGUGUCCGUAAAUACCGGGCGUUAAUGACGGUACCGGAAAAAAAAGCACCGGCAAACUACGUG